UAACUUUAGGAAAAAAAUGUUCGAAGUCCUCUGCCCAAACAACAGAACCGACUUGAUUGCUGACGAAGCUCAGCUUGUAAUCAAGAAUUUCAAAGCUUCUUUCAGGCUGGCAUACAACAGAUCACAAGUAAAUGUGACUGACAUGGGCGUGUCUUUCUGGAGUGUGUGCUCUUCAAAAUAAAGAGAGCAUGCAAAGAGCCUGCGCGAGAGUCUAACUUACUACAUGGUCGCUCACCCUUGCAAUGAAAACCUGAUGCCAGAAACCAAACAAAUCUUAAGAAAAUAUGGUGUUCCAUUCGACUACUCGGUACGUGUGACUAAACGAAAAUUUUAUUUCAUUUCCUCUGUCUUUUUUGCAAACAGAUUUAUUUCUCUUUACAGUUUUUCCAAGGUUGUAUGUAUUCCCCUGUGAUUUCUAACCUUUUCUUUUUCUUUUCCCAUGAACAUAAAUCUCACAUACUCCAGGGUAUUCUCCAUGGGGUC